rnacentral:piRNA from 1 species
AUGAACCCCUGCUGAUGGAGAG